rnacentral:rRNA from 1 species
AUUGAACGCUGGCGGCAGGCUUAACACAUGCAAGUCGAGCGGUAACAGGGGGUGCUUGCACCCCGCUGACGAGCGGCGGACGGGUGAGUAAUGCUUAGGAAUCUGCCCAGUAGUGGGGGAUAGCCCGGGGAAACCCGGAUUAAUACCGCAUACGCCCUUUUGGGGAAAGCAGGGGAUCUUCGGACCUUGCGCUAUUGGAUGAGCCUAAGUCGGAUUAGCUAGUUGGUGGGGUAAAGGCUCACCAAGGCGACGAUCCGUAGCUGGUCUGAGAGGAUGAUCAGCCACAUCGGGACUGAGACACGGCCCGAACUCCUACGGGAGGCAGCAGUGGGGAAUAUUGGACAAUGGGGGCAACCCUGAUCCAGCCAUGCCGCGUGUGUGAAGAAGGCUUUCGGGUUGUAAAGCACUUUCAGUGAGGAGGAAGGCUUUCAGAUCAAUACUCUGGAGGAUUGACGUUAUUCACAGAAGAAGCACC